GCUUCCUUAGGGAAUUCCAAAUGGUCAACGCAAGGAGGAUGAAGAUUUGACCUAAAAGGUGGGGUGAAAACGGAAGGAGAGUAUUGAAGGGAAUUAUAGGUGAGUGAGGUGCUCUGCUAUGUGCUCCCUGCAUGCUGUUCCAACCUUACCAGAUCUUGGAGUAGAAAUCCCAGAACUGUAGAAUCCAUGGUCAUGACUUCAACUGCCAUCUACCUGUUGAGGAAUCUGUACCUCAGACUUUUGUCCUCAUUUCCAAUUCAAUUAUUUUCUAAAA